rnacentral:rRNA from 1 species
CGGGGUAACGGCCCACCAAGGCGACGAUCAGUAGGGGUUCUGAGAGGAAGAUCCCCCACAUUGGGACUGAGACACGGACCAGACUCCUACGGGAGGCAGCAGUGGGGAAUAUUGCACAAUGGAGGAAACUCUGAUGCAGCGACGCCGCGUGAGUGAAGAAGUAGUUCGCUAUGUAAAGCUCUAUCAGCAGGGAAGAUAAUGACGGUACUCAACAAGGAAGUGACGGCUAACUACGUGCCAGCAGCCGCGGUAAAACGUAGGUCACAAGCGUUGUCCGGAAUUACUGGGUGUAAAGGGAGCGCAGGCGGGAAGACAAGUUGGAAGUGAAAUCUAUGGGCUCAACCCAUAAACUGCUUUCAAAACUGUUUUUCUUGAGUAGUGCAGAGGUAGGCGGAAUUCCCGGUGUAGCGGUGGAAUGCGUAGAUAUCGGGAGGAACACCAGUGGCGAAGGCGGCCUACUGGGCACCAACUGACGCUGAGGCUCGAAAGUGUGGGUAGCAAACAGGAUUAGAUACCCUGGUAGUCCACACCGUAAACGAUGAUUACUAGGUGUUGGAGGAUUUGACCCCCUUCAGUGCCGCAGUUAACACAAUAAGUAAUCCACCUGGGGAGUACGACCGCAAGGUUGAAACUCAAAGGAAUUGACGGGGGCCCGCACAAGCAGUGGAGUAUGUGGUUUAAUUCGACGCAACGCGAAGAACCUUACCAAGUCUUGACAUCCCUUGACGAACAUAGAAAUAUGUUUUCUCUUCGGAGCAAGGAGACAGGUGGUGCAUGGUUGUCGUCAGCUCGUGUCGUGAGAUGUUGGGUUAAGUCCCGCAACGAGCGCAACCCUUACUGUCAGUUACUACGCAAGAGGACUCUGGCAGGACUGCCGUUGACAAAACGGAGGAAGGUGGGGAUGACGUCAAAUCAUCAUGCCCUUUAUGACUUGGGCUACACACGUACUACAAUGGCGUUAAACAAAGAGAAGCAAGACCGCGAGGUGGAGCAAAACUCAGAAACAACGUCCCAGUUCGGACUGCAGGCUGCAACUCGCCUGCACGAAGUCGGAAUUGCUAGUAAUCGUGGAUCAGCAUGCCACGGUGAAUACGUUCCCGGGCCUUGCACUCACCGCCCGUCA